rnacentral:lncRNA from 1 species
GUUUGAACCUUAAUUUUUGAUUAUUUUUUCCAUUUUUAGGUUAUUUUCAUUCUUUCAAGGAAUUGGGUAUGUUAAUUUGAUAUGGUAUCAGAUAAAAAUUACUCUUUUUGAAAUUAAAGCUUCCCCAAAUCACCCGAAUCGCGUUGCUGCCGAUUUUGCCGUUUCGACUUCACGUGCGUUGCGAUUUCUUUUGCCAAAUCGCUGGAGUCUUGAUUUCUGCUAUCAAAUAAUCUUGAUUUCUGUUUUUUCACUCAUGGAUUUCUGCUAUCGUGGAAUCAAAUAUUGGAAUCACACUCAUGUACGUUUUCAGAUUUCUUUCUGGAAUUGCGUGUCGGCCAAUCGUGUGUUGGGUAUCAUUUUUUUUUCUUUUUGAAAAUUACUACCUACCUACAUUAGAAUCACAUGUUGGAUUCUGCUGGUUUUUUUCUUCCUCUACUGAAAAAAACAAGAAAAAGAAAAGAAAUUUACUCUUUGAUAAUGUUUUCUACAGGCUACAGUUGAAUCCUCUAGCAGUGGUAUUUUUUUAAUUCUGGAAUUUCAAAUGAUUUGUAUAAGUGUCAAAUAUCUCAGUCGAUCAGAUGUUUCUUGGAAAAGAUGAUACUCUCGGUCCACUGUAUGUGGCUCAAGACUAACAGCAGUGACUCACACGUACAUAGCAAGGAUCUGAUCCGGUUCAAACUUAAGCCCGACCCGACCACGGCUUGAGCUUAAGGCCAGUUAAGUAUCUAGUAAGUCCAGUCUCAUUGGCAGGAGAAUAUUGCUAUUAAUACUUCUCACCUAUGGAUCAGGAGUAGGUUAAUUGGAGUAAGUCUACACUAGCUACUAGAGAAAGAGAGAAGGAUCUAAAUCGACGGUAACGGCCAUCUCUUUGGUUGUGCGUCAUCAAUACCUAUUUUGGAAAGGUCAGAUGGAAAAUCUUGUUUGUCUUCAUGAUUUGUCCAAUUUAAUUUCUCCAAAUCGUGUGAUUCCCGACGAGAAGAAAUCAGAUGGAUCAAUCUGCCCACUUUACAGAAUUUGAGUCAAGAAAAAUGUUAUUGUUUUAGAGUGGAUUCAAUCUACUGUUUCUCCGCCGAUGUUUUCUUUAGUGAUGGGUCUCCAUUGCAUAUGAUUGUUGGGGUACGUUGAAUCGUCAUCUUGUUAUCUGUAGGCCGGAAUCGUAGAAUGUAUUUUCCCUGAUUCGGACUGGAUCGCCCAUCCUAUUUAUUUAGGAUGUAAUAACAACACAUUACCAUAAAGCAAAAGCAAAAGAGUUAGUUCGUGUCAAUAGAAAAAUAAAUCGUAUCGGUCUUGUUCGUGUCGAAUGAGUGAAAAAUGAAUAUGAAAUUGAAAUUUUAUUUUGAUAAAUGCAUCAAAUUAAUUUUUGACGGUCAAAAAUUAUUUAUUGAAAAUAUUAAAAAC